rnacentral:lncRNA from 1 species
GGGCAGUUACUCGGUGUCUGAGUCUCCCUUCUUCAGCCCCAUCCACCUACACUCAAACGUGGCGUGGACAGUGGAAGAUCCAGUGGACAGUGCUCCUCCCGGGCAGAGAAAGAAGGAGCAAUGGGUGAUACGCUGGCAUCAACCCCUCGGACGGUAUCAACUCAGAGGUCCUGGAAGCCAUACGGGUGACCCGUCACAAGAACGCCAUGGCAGAGCGCUGGGAAUCCCGCAUCUACGCCAGUGAGGAGGAUGACUGAGCCUCGGGAUGGGGCGCCCACCCCCUGCCCUGCCCUGACCCUCGUGGGAACUGCCAAGACCAUCGCCAAGCCCCCACCCUAGGAAAUGGGUCCUAGGUCCAGGAUCCAAGAACCACAGCUCAUCUGCCAACAAUCCCACCAUGGGCACAUUUGGGACUGUUGGGUUUUUCGUUUCCGUUUCUAUCUUCCUUUAGAAAUGUUUCUGCCUUUGGGGUCUAAAGCUUUUGGGGAUGAAAUGGGACCCCUGCUGAUUCUUUCUGCUUCUAAGACUUUGCCAAAUGCCCUGGGUCUAAGAAAGAAAGAGACCCGCUCCUCCACUUUCAGGUGUAAUUUGCUUCCGCUAGUCUGAGGGCAGAGGGACCGGUCAAAGAGGGUGGCACAGAUCGCAGCACCUUGAGGGGCUGCGGGUCUGAGGGAGGAGACACUCAGCUCCUCCCUCUGAGAAGUCCCAAGCUGAGAGGGGAGACCUGCCCCUUUCCAACCCUGGGAAACCAUCCAGUCUGAGGGAGGAGGCCAAACUCCCAGUGCUGGGGGUCCCUGUGCAGCCCUCAAACCCUUCACCUUGGUGCACCCAGCCACACCUGGUGGACACAAAGCUCUCACAUCGAUAGGAUCCCAUGAGGAUGGUCCCCUUCACCUGGGAGAAAAGUGACCCAGUUUAGGAGCUGGAGGGGGGUCUUUGUCCCCCACCCCCAAACUGCCCUGAAAUAAACCUGGAGUGAGCUGCC